GGAGGGUAAGCGAAUGGUUAGCGGCCUCAUUGGAAAUGAGGUGUCCUGAAAAGGAUUGCGGGUUCGAGCCCCGUGCCCUCCG
rnacentral:tRNA from 1 species